rnacentral:misc_RNA from 1 species
GUGAAUCAUCAAAUUUUUGAACGCAAAUUGCACUCUCUUCGGAGAGUAUGCCUGUUUGUGUGUCAGCCUAAAAUAAAAUCGACAUAGUCUCUUUGUUGCGGUUACAUUCGUCGGAAAUUGUGUCAUCUUUAUUCUUUUGGUUUUAAUCGGCUUAAAAUUUUCUUUACUAUUCCGCUCGCGUUUCUAUGAUUUACUUCUUAUUCGUGUUAUAUAUCGAUCG